rnacentral:ncRNA from 1 species
UAAAAGGUUUGGUCCUAGCCUCAGUAUUAAUUUUUAACUAAAAUUAUACAUGCAAGUUUCAGCACCCCUGUGAGAAUGCCCUUAUUAAUUUAUUAAUUAAUAAGGAGCUGGUAUCAGGCACACAACAUGUAGCCCAAGACACCUUGCUAAGCCACACCCCCAAGGGUUUCCAGCAGUAAUAAACAUUGACUUAUAAGCGUAAGCUUGAAUCAAUUAAAGUUAUUAGGGUUGGUAAAUCUCGUGCCAGCCACCGCGGUUAUACGAGUAACCCAAAUUAAUACUUUUCCGGCGUAAAGAGUGGUUAAAGAAAAAAACAACUAAAGUUAAGACACCAUCAAGCUGUUAUACGCAUUUAUGAGUGGAAUAACCAAUAACGAAAGUGACUUUAUAAUAUUAAAAUCUUGAUGCCACGACAGUUAGACCCCAAACUGGGAUUAGAUACCCCACUAUGCCUAACCACAAACUUAAAUAAUAAUUUACCCUAUUAUUCGCCAGAGUACUACAAGCGCUAGCUUAAAACCCAAAGGACUUGGCGGUGCUUCAGACCCUCCUAGAGGAGCCUGUUCUAUAAUCGAUAAUCCCCGUUAAACCUCACCACCCCUUGCCAUUACCGCCUAUAUACCGCCGUCGUCAGCUCACCCUAUGAAGGAUAAAAAGUAAGCAAAAAGAAUUUAACUUCUACACGUCAGGUCAAGGUGUAGCGGAUGGGAUGGAAAGAAAUGGGCUACAUUUUCUAUUAAGAAAAUACGGAUAGUAAACUGAAAAAUUACUUCAAGGUGGAUUUAGCAGUAAGAAGAAACAAGAAUAUUCUUCUGAAAAUGGCUCUGAAGCGCGCACACACCGCCCGUCACUCUCCUCACCAAAAUCUCCACUCUUAUAUAAAAAGAUUACUUUGAUAAGAGGAGGCAAGUCGUAACAUGGUAAGUGUACUGGAAAGUGCACUUGGAAU